UACUUUGAAGAGAGAGUAAACAGUACGUGAAACCGCAUAGAGGUAAACGGGUGGCGUCAAGCUGCAAGCCCAGAGGAUUCAGUCGGUCAGGAUGUUGUGUAUGCGCCUGGCGCAUCUAUCAGUCGGUAUUAGAUCGGGUGGUCCGCCGGGAAACGGUGGGCCCAACCGCAAGGUUGGGAUUUGCGUUCCGGGUGACUGCCGGAGCAUGCUGCCUAUCUGUUGGACUGUCUGGCCGAUGCACUUCCUCUGUUAUGGUGAACACCACGACCGGUGGUACUGCCAGUCUGUUGUGGCCAAGUUGUAUCUGGUCGGCAUUUAUUGUCGUCUGGAUGCAAUCACAGGCGAUGUCAUUGUCCGGCGUUCGGGCGUUCGCGUCAGUUCGUGUUAUCGGGCAGUGCUCGUCAACGGGUCGGUUCGUCGGUUGUUGUAAUCGCCGGCGGAUGGCUUGGUGGGCCAUGAUGGUAAGAAUAACUGUGCAGGGCACCGGAGUUCUCGGUCUCUAAUCUGGCUCGCAUGCACAUUACAAGUGUAGCGGAGCGUUAUUGCGGCCUGCCUGUGGUUGGGUCUGAUUGUCGUGUCGCCUGCACAAAGUAGGCCCGGCUUUGGCCUAACUCUUGUUGGAGUCGUGGAUGGCGUUUCCUGUGUGAGUUAGUGUGGACCAAACAGUCUGUGGUGUAGUGGUAGACCAGCCACCCGACCCGUCUUGAAACACGGACCAG
rnacentral:rRNA from 1 species